GAAUGAGAUGCGGGCCUCGGCGAGGUACGGGGUGUCGCUCUUGGAGCGGACUCGGCGGAUGGGUCUGCGGUCGAUGUCCUCCUCGGAAGAUGCCGCCAUUAAUGUGGGCACGCAUGCUCUCAUCAAGCCACCCGCUUCCUGCCUGCAAUAAAAGGAGAGCUCUGGAUGGGAUUCAUCUUGAUAACACCAACAUACAAGGGAGAUGCCUAGCUGAGUGGAUUCCUUCAAACCUGUUAUUAAAACAGUCCAUACCAAACGUUUGAAGCUUUAGAUAUUAUCCAUUUAUCCAAAGACAAAGAAAGAAGCACUGAUU